rnacentral:rRNA from 1 species
UAAAUAGAUUAAUUAAUUUUUUUAGUGUAGGUGAAUAAAAUUAAAAUGUAAUCAACUUAAAUUCUAAAUUUUAAGUUAAAUUUAAUUUUUAAUUUUUUUUGUUAAAUUAUGAAUCCUGUAAAUUAAUAUAAAAACUAGGAUUAGAUACCCUAUUAUUUUAACUUAAUUAUUUGACACUUUAUUAUUAACGGUUAAAUUCCCUAAAAUAAAAAAAUUUGGCGGUAUUUUAAUCUUUUCAGAGGAACCUGUUCUAUUAUUGAUAUUCCACGAUUAAAUUUACUUAUUUUUUAAGUUUACAUAUCGUUGUAAAAAUUAUACUAUCAGGUUAUAAUUUUUAGUUUAAAUUAAAAUUUAACUCAGAUCAAGGUGUAGCUUAUAAAUAAGAAGAAAUGGGUUACUAUUUAAAAAUAUUUGGAAUAUAAAUUUUGAAUUUAUAUGAAUUUGGAUUUGAGAGUAAUUUUAUAUAUUUUUGUAAAAUGAUUUUAGCACUAAAAU